GUCCAUACAGUAUAUACAAAUAAACAUCGAACACAGAAACCAAACCCUAAAUUCAAUUCUCUCCUUUGUUCUUUAUUCUUUUGCGCGAAUUUCGAUUGCGUCCAAACAAAGCGUCGUCGAUAUCGCCUUUCGGUGGAUUUCGCAAUCAGAUCUGCUCAAUUUUUGAUUAUAAGACGUGAAGAGACGUCAUGAUUCUGAGUCAGCCUGAGAUCAGGGUCCUCGACGUUAAGUGCCAUAUCUCCUCUGCGAAAGAGCAGAACAAUUUUCGAGUUUCUGAGUCUGUGCGUGCCGAGGUUUCGGAUUCCGCUGAAACGCCUCGAUUCGAAUCGGGCAUGAGUUUUGCGACUACUAGCAUUGAAGAGCCCACCAUUGAGUUUUUCCCAACUAUACGUUCAGGGAGCUUUGCUGACAUUCGGGGCCGAGAGACCAUGGAGGAUGAACACAUCUGCAUAGACGACUUAUCAGCUCAGUUUCGAUCCGUCAACUUCUCUUUACCAAGUGCUUUCUAUGGAGUCUUUGAUGGCCAUGGCGGACCUGAGGCGUCGCUUUACAUGAAGGAGAACUUGACGAGACUGUUCUUCCAAGAUUCUGUAUUUCCGGAGAUGCCCUCCGUUGCGGACAACUUUUUCUUGCAAGAACUUGAGAACUCUCACCGGAAAGCUUUUGCUUUGGCUGAUCUCGCCAUGGCUGACGAAAGCAUUGUCAGUGGUUCAUGCGGGACAACCGCCUUGACCGCUCUCAUUGUCGGACGACAUCUUCUGGUCGCUAACGCUGGAGAUUGCCGUGCAGUGCUAUGCCGGAGAGGAGUGGCUGUUGACAUGUCUUUCGAUCACAGGUCAACAUAUGAGCCUGAGCGUAGGCGAAUAGAGGAUCUAGGAGGGUACUUUGAGGAUGGGUACCUCAACGGGGUCCUUGCUGUCACACGUGCCAUUGGGGACUGGGAGCUCAAGAGUCCUUUCACUGGCUCCUCUUCGCCUCUGAUUUCAGACCCAGAUAUUCAACAGAUUGUUCUUACAGAGGACGACGAGUUCUUGAUUUUGGCAUGUGAUGGUAUAUGGGAUGUAUUGUCAAGCCAGAAUGCAGUGAGUAACGUAAGACAAGGACUGAGAAGGCACGGAGACCCGAGACAAAGCGCAAUGGAACUUGGGAAAGAAGCAGCAAGGCUUAACUCAUCAGAUAAUCUGACGGUUGUGGUCAUCUGCUUCUCCUCGGUUCCGUCUCCACCUCAACAACCGCAGAGGAGAAGGUUAAGGUUCUGUGUUUCUGAUGAAGCUCGAGCUCGGUUACAAGCGAUGCUUGGAGGCGACUGAAGCCUGUCUUUUUUGGCAGUAUAUAUAAAGAGUGAUCGGUUUUAGACCGGUCCAGUGAUUAUUUCUCUGAUUUGUGAUUGGUUUCAGUGAGUUCAAAAUAAAAGGACUUUUACAGAGGUAGAGAGGUUUUGUCUGAGAACAUGAGGAUUGUAUCUUUGGUACAUGGUUCCAACAAGAGAGAGUAAUUGAAGAAUCUCUCUCCCAUAUCUGUGGAAGUUGAGAGUGUAUGUGUGGACUGUGGAAGAGUUUGGGGGUUUAUCUGAAAAGUUUCAAUCCUAACCUUAUGUCAUUGCUUCUCAUCAUCUCUAUCUUUAUCUCUUUAUCUUCUUUUCCUCCAUGAAUCUUCAUGUCCAUAUAUUUUCUACUUUUUAAAAUAUUUGUCCGUCUUUUUAUGAAUGAAAAUGAAGCAAAAAAUGAUUCAAGUAUUUAUUUUGAUAAUUUUGCAAAUAAUUUUCGAAUAUUUCGUGGUACAUGAGAUUCUGGAAACUAAAGUAUGUACUGAACCAACAGGUUGAUAAAUUUUCCAUAAUUCAGAGGAAUUAUUCUCAUAAUAUAUGGUCAAUUGUGGAAAUAUUUAAUAUUAUUUGUGAUUAUAAAAAUAAAAAAGGUCUGAAGCCUCUCUCUCUCGCUUUAUACAUUUCGCCGGCUCUGUUCAUCUCUACAAAGAGCCAACCAAGUUUCUCUCUCUCUAACAAAAAAAUGGCGAUGGCGAAUUUAGCAAGAAGGAAGGCUUAUUUUCUCACC